UAGGGAAUCUUCCACAAUGGGCGCAAGCCUGAUGGAGCAACACCGCGUGAGUGAAGAAGGGUUUCGGCUCGUAAAGCUCUGUUGUUAAAGAAGAACACGUAUGAGAGUAACUGUUCAUACGUUGACGGUAUUUAACCAGAAAGUCACGGCUAAAUACGUGCCAA
rnacentral:rRNA from 1 species